UACGGAGGGUGUUAGCGUUGUCCGGAAUUACUGGGCGUAAAGCGCGCGUAGGCGGACCAGAAAGUUGGGGGUGAAAUCCCGGGGCUCAACCCCGGAACGGCCUCCAAAACUCCUGGUCUUGAGUUCGAGAGAGGUGAGUGGAAUUCCGAGUGUAGAGGUGAAAUUCGUAGAUAUUCGGAGGAACACCAGUGGCGAAGGCGGCUCGCUGGCUCGAUACUGACGCUGAGGUGCGAAAGUGUGGGGAGCAAACAGG
rnacentral:rRNA from 1 species